UUGACCCUACGGGGCGCAGCAGUGGGGAAUAUUGCACAAUGGGGGAAACCCUGAUGCAGCAACGCCGCGUGAGUGAUGACGGCCUUCGGGUUGUAAAGCUCUGUCUUCAGGGACGAUAAUGACGGUACCUGAGGAGGAAGCCACGGCUAACUACGUGCCAGCAGCCGCGGUAAUACGUAGGUGGCGAGCGUUGUCCGGAUUUACUGGGCGUAAAGGGAGCGUGGGCGGAUUUUUAAGUGAGGUGUGAAAUACUCGGGCUCAACUUGAGUGCUGCAUUUCAAACUGAAAGUCUAGAGUGCAGGAGA
rnacentral:rRNA from 1 species